rnacentral:rRNA from 1 species
AUGAAGUUUGCUUGCAACUUUGAUGGCGACCGGCGCACGGGUGAGUAACACGUAUCCUCCCUUAAAGGGGCUCGGGGAUAGCCUUUCGAAAGAAAGAUUCCUUCCCGAUGGCACGGGAGCCCCGCAUGAGGUUCCCUUUAAAGAAUUUCGGUGGAAGAUGGGGAUGCGUUCCAUUAGGCAGUUGGCGGGGUAACGGCCCACCAAACCUACGAUGGAUAGGGGUUCUGAGAGGAAGGUCCCCCACAUUGGAACUGAGACACGGUCCAAACUCCUACGGGAGGCAGCAGUGAGGAAUAUUGGUCAAUGGGCGAGAGCCUGAACCAGCCAAGUAGCGUGAAGGAUGACGGCCCUACGGGUUGUAAACUUCUUUUGUGCGGGAAUAAAGGAGCCUACGUGUAGGCUUUUGCAUGUACCGUAACGAAUAAGCAUCGGCUAACUCCGUGCCAGCAGCCGCGGUAAUACGGAGGAUGCGAGCGUUAUCCGGAUUUAUUGGGUUUAAAGGGAGCGCAGACGGGUUUUUAAGUCAGCUGUGAAAGUUUGGGGCUCAACCUUAAAAUUGCAGUUGAAACUGGAGACCUUGAGUACGGUUGAGGUAGGCGGAAUUCGUGCUGUAGCGGUGAAAUGCUUAGAUAUCACGAAGAACUCUGAUUGAAGGGCGAAUUCC